rfam:Clostridium baratii str. Sullivan, complete genome.
ACAGUACAAACUGAUCAGGCCGUUAAAUAUGUAUUUAUGGAGCCGGGCCGAAAGGCAACAGGAUUAUUAAAACCUGUGGGACAGUA